rnacentral:rRNA from 1 species
AGAGUUUGAUCCUGGCUCAGAACGAACGCUGGCGGCAUGCCUAACACAUGCAAGUCGAACGAAGGCCUUCGGGCUUUAGUGGCGCACGGGUGCGUAACGCGUGGGAAUCUGCCCUUAGGUUCGGAAUAACAGCUGGAAACGGCUGCUAAUACCGGAUGAAGACGAAAGUCCAAAGAUCUAUCGCCUGAGGAUGAGCCCGCGUUGGAUUAGGUAGUUGGUGGGGUAAAGGCCUACCAAGCCGACGAUCCAUAGCUGGUCUGAGAGGAUGAUCAGCCACACUGGGACUGAGACACGGCCCAGACUCCUACGGGAGGCAGCAGUGGGGAAUAUUGGACAAUGGGGGAAACCCUGAUCCAGCAAUGCCGCGUGAGUGAUGAAGGCCCUAGGGUUGUAAAGCUCUUUUACCCGGGAAGAUAAUGACUGUACCGGGAGAAUAAGCCCCGGCUAACUCCGUGCCAGCAGCCGCGGUAAUACGGAGGGGGCUAGCGUUGUUCGGAAUUACUGGGCGUAAAGCGCACGUAGGCGGCUUUGUAAGUCAGAGGUGAAAGCCUGGAGCUCAACUCCAGAACUGCCUUUGAGACUGCAUCGCUUGAAUCCAGGAGAGGUCAGUGGAAUUCCGAGUGUAGAGGUGAAAUUCGUAGAUAUUCGGAAGAACACCAGUGGCGAAGGCGGCUGACUGGACCGGUAUUGACGCUGAGGUGCGAAAGCGUGGGGAGCAAACAGGGAUUAGAUACCCUGGUAGUCCACGCCGUAAACGAUGAUAACUAGCUGUCCGGGGACUUGGUCUUUGGGUGGCGCAGCUAACGCAUUAAGUUAUCCGCCUGGGGAGUACGGCCGCAAGGUUAAAACUCAAAUGAAUUGACGG